rnacentral:rRNA from 1 species
AACGAACGCUGGCGGCAUGCCUAACACAUGCAAGUCGAACGGGAUCCAGGCUUCGGCCUGGUGAGAGUGGCGGACGGGUGAGUAACACGUGGGAACCUGCCUUUUGGUUCGGGAUAACCGCGGGAAACUGCGGCUAAUACCGGAUGCUCCCGAGAGGGGAAAGAUUUAUCGCCAGAAGAGGGGCCCGCGUCCGAUUAGGUAGUUGGUGAGGUAAUGGCUCACCAAGCCGACGAUCGGUAGCUGGUCUGAGAGGAUGAUCAGCCACACUGGGACUGAGAUACGGCCCAGACUCCUACGGGAGGCAGCAGUGGGGAAUAUUGGGACAAUGGGGGCAACCCUGAUCCAGCAAUGCCGCGUGAGUGAUGAAGGCCUUAGGGUUGUAAAGCUCUUUGCCAGGGAAGAUGAUGACUGUACCUGGAGAAUAACCCCCCCCGCGGCCUAACUUCGUGCCAGCAGCCGCGGU